rnacentral:tRNA from 1 species
AUUAAAAGGUAAAGUCUGUACAGGAUAAAACUGUAAAUUUUAUUCUUUCGGAAGAAA